CCCUUAGAUGUUCUGGGCCGCACACGCGCUACACUGAAGGAGGCAGCGUGUACUCCUGGAUCGAAAGAUUUGGGUAACCCGCGAAUCUCCUUCGUGCUAGGGAUUGAGGUUUGCAAUUAUCCUUCAUGAACGAGGAAUUCCCAGUAGUGCAAGUCAUAAGCUUGCGCUGACUACGUCCCUGCCCUUUGUACACACCGCCCGUCGCUACUACCGAUUGAAUGAUUUAGUGAGGACUUCGGACUGGGACCGAUGCGGCUUUCGGGCCGCGUCGGUAUUCUGGAAAGAUGUCCAAACUGUAUCAUUUAGAGGAAGUAAAAGUCGUAACA
rnacentral:rRNA from 1 species